UCUUCGCUAGUAUAUCGGUUAGUAUAACCGCCUCUCAAUAGGGAGUCUUCCUAAUACAUAGGAACAUCGCGGUAGAGCAGGGUUCAACUCCCUGGCGGAGAA